rnacentral:rRNA from 1 species
GCUUACUAAGCUACAACUGACACUGAAGCACGAAAGCGUGGGGAUCAAACAGGAUUAGAUACCCUGGUAGUCCACGCAGUAAACGAUGAUUACUAGCUGUUUGCGAUACACAGUAAGCGGCACAGCGAAAGCGUUAAGUAAUCCACCUGGGGAGUACGCCGGCAACGGUGAAACUCAAAGGAAUUGACGGGGGCCCGCACAAGCGGAGGAACAUGUGGUUUAAUUCGAUGAUACGCGAGGAACCUUACCCGGGUUUGAACGUAGGGAGACAGGGGUGGAAACAUCCUUUUCAGCAAUGACUGCCUACGAGGUGCUGCAUGGUUGUCGUCAGCUCGUGCCGUGAGGUGUCGGCUUAAGUGCCAUAACGAGCGCAACCCUUAUUUCCAGUUACUAACAGGUGAAGCUGAGGACUCUGGAGAGACUGCCAGCGUAAGCUGUGAGGAAGGUGGGGAUGACGUCAAAUCAGCACGGCCCUUACAUCCGGGGCGACACACGUGUUACAAUGGUAAGGACAAAGGGCAGCUACCGGGCGACCGGAUGCGAAUCUCUAAACCUUAUCUCAGUUCGGAUCGGAGUCUGCAACUCGACUCCGUGAAGCUGGAUUCGCUAGUAAUCGCGCAUCAGCCAUGGCGCGGUGAAUACGUUCCCGGGCCUUGUACACACCGCCCGUCAAGCCAUGGGAGCCGGGGGUACCUGAAGUUCGUAACCGCAAGGAUCGACCUAGGGUAAAACUGGUGACUGGGGCUAAGUCGUAACAAGUUAACCGUA